GGGCGGGUAGGAUGCGGCUGCUCUGGCCCAAAGCCGGAGAGGAAAGUCCGGGCUCCGGAGGAUAGCGUAGUGGGUAAUACCCAUCACUCAGCCCAGGUAAACUGGGAUUGGGGAGGAUGAGAGCCACAGAGACGAGUCCGGCCUGAAAAGGCCGGGGUGAAACGGGGCAAUCUCUACGCGGAGAAAGGCAGAAUAGGAGACGAGCCCGCCAUUAUAGAUGGCGGACAGGCGCUGAUCCGGCGCGUCAUUAGUCUCGGGUAAGCUGCUUGAGUCCCGGGGGCGACCCCUGGAUCGAGAGGAAUGGCCGAUAAGGAUGCGAAAAAUCGCAUUGACACAGAACCCGGCUUAUUCUACCCGCUCUUUA
rnacentral:RNase_P_RNA from 1 species